rnacentral:lncRNA from 1 species
UUUUUAAAGUAAGAUUGUGUUGGGAGAAGCCCCAAGCGCUUCCUGGGCUCAGGUUCUCCGGAGCUCUAGUCCGCACCCUCCCUGAAACCUGGUUACAGCUUCCACCUCGCCCACAGACUCUCCUCUAACCUCUUACUCAGCCAGCAGUCUCUUUGCUCUCAGUCUUGGCUCCAGACAGGGCCAACUGGUGGGACCCCCUGAAACAAGGCAGGAGAAGGCACCGUUGGAUGAGGAGCGUUCCCAGGAUAGGGCCAGGCGCUUUAGGAGACCUGGAGUAAACCCACAAAGCCCCAUCUGUAGGGAAGGCAGACCUUGGGGUUACCUCACAAUGGUAACAAAGAGCCUGGGAGAGUGUGAAGAGAGAACGCCUCCUGCUGUCACUGAAAAAGCCCUGCUGUAGGAGCCCAAAGGGAAGGGCUGAGACCAGCUCUGCCACCGACCAGCAAGUCCCUUUCCAUCUGGGCUUCGGAUUCUCACCCAGGAAACGAAUGGGGGAGGAAAUUCAUCUCUCAUGUCUUCCAGCGCUGCUGCUGCAAACCCUGAUCCACAUAGGGAAAGGCAACACUGGCCCGGGGUCUUGGGCACCCCCCACCACGAAGAACACAGGCGUCUUGAAAGAGAGUGGGCCAGUGGUCCUGAUUGCUGGGGGAAAGUGGGUGGUGAUGCCUUUGGUGUUCUGACACUAGCCUGAAAGCAAGCCUCACUCAGGUGACACCAGACACAGUUUGACGUCGUGUCCUUGUGACCAUUUGUCCCUCAGGAGUCCCCUGCACUCCUGGGAGCUGGAAAUUCUGCGUUCACCCAGCUCUGCCACCUGUGAGCCAUGCCAGCUUGAGCAAGCCCUUUGGCCAUUUUCCAUGGCUGGCAGCUUUUUUAACAGCUUUAUUGAGGUAUAACUUACAUUCCAUGAGAUGUACUCAUUUCAAGUGUACAAGCUAAUGAAUUUUAAUAAAUUUACAAAGUUGUGCAACCAUCACCGCAAUCUAAUUUUAGAACAAAUUGCAUUGUCCUAAAAAGAAAUCUGCCCAAGUGCAGCCACUCCCUCCCCU